CUUCCCGUUCCAUCUCGCCGCCGUUCUCUUCUCCUCCAUCCUUCUCAGCAAGGAACAUCGAAGAGAGGCCGAACCCGACUCCUCUUGGCAUUCUUUCUCGUCCUUGCUUCAUUUCAGAUCCUUCUCCUUCGGCUUUGAGUUCAAUACCCCAAUCAAGUUCCAAUAUCUCGCUUCUUCAGCGCAAUUGGUGGUGGUGGAUGGCAAAAAACAACAAAUACACCUCCAUUAACUUCAACCACAUCUACGAGAAAAGCAGCAGUUCCGCUUCUAACACCAACCUUGCCAAGAACCCAGCUCCCUCACUUUCCCCUUCGUAUUCUGCUACUUCUUAUUCUGCAAUUUCUGCUCCCAACAAGACUCAUGGCCGUAUGUUGGUUCUGACUCGACCCACUCACACACCCACACCCAAACCCCUUCAACCCCAGCUCCAACAGCCACCCCAGCAACCAUCUAAGCUGACUCAACAAGUACCGGAUCAACCCCCCUCCGAUUCCGGUUCCAACGCCAUCUCACUUCGUCCGUUGGGCCGGACGGGGGCCACUUCGUCUCUCUCGCCCCCUAUUUCUAAUUACGACAAAGAUAAGGAGUUGCCUUCCGCUCCACCGGUCAUUUCUCCGAAAUCCGACAAGUUCGUGCCACCUCACCUUCGUCCCGGAUUUGUUCCGAGGGAGGAGAAGCCUGGACCGGAAUUGAGUCGGCCACACAGGCAGCUGGGUCAUGCUGGAUAUCCGGGUCGAUAUGUGGAAAACGGCCGACCCAAGUCGGGUGGGUACGAGAGGAUGAGGAGAGGCGGCUUAUCGGAUGUGGGGUUGAUGAAUCGGCCGAGAUCCAGUGGGGGUCGACCAAGUUCCAGUGGAUGAAAGCGCCAGAGAUUGAAUUAUUUCCCGAGGGCAAAUUGAACUCGUUUAGCAAAACAGAUGGGUUCUCUUUGGCAAUUCAAUGCACGCAUCCUUUGGCCCUCUGGAGUUGAUAUCAAUUUUCACAGAGAUGACAUUUGGAUUCAUUGAAGAUUGACCUGAUCAGGUGGCAACCUUUCGACCUCUGUUGUCAGAAUCUGAGAAAGGCUUGAUUACGGGCAAACUUCAAUGAGGGAUCUUAAACCCACGACAGGGUUUAUCUUAUAGUCUUUGAAGCCAGCACCCAAGAAUAGCUUAGCCCACUCUUUCUCUGUGCGUUCUUUUCCGUUACUCAGCAGCAUCAUCAACAUAUUGAAGCAGAGCUGUGUUCCAAGUGAUUCAUCUUCCUCCUCCUUUGGGUUCUCCAUUUUUACCAUGUCAAUGGCGAUCGCCUUAUUAUCUCUCCUCCCAUCACCCGAAAUCGCCUCUCUGCAGUUCUUUAGUAUUUUGACACAUUCCUCGUUGCCCCAAUCAUGCAAUACGCUCUACUUGGCAUUGUUUGCAAGAAGAAUGUCAGAGGUUAGACAUUUGCAUGUAUAUGUAGAAGAUGACAGCAUUCAACAGAUUAUAUAAUUAUAUGUUGCCUUUGGCAUACCUUCAAUAUGAUUCCAUCUGCUGGAGGAAUGGCCUCAAACAUGUCGCCUGCAACGAAUUUCAAGUUGUUGGUUCCCUGCAUGUUAAGACAGACCAUAAAUUUCUAUCAAGCAGGCCCAAUAUCAAGCUUAUCACAUAUAAACCCAAUACAGCUAUGAGUCACAAGAAGGCCCAAUCUAUUGUUUAAUGGGGUGCUGCGUUUUACACUUUAUCUGUACAUAAUUGUUCCUUUGUAAAUCUGCCAUCUGAUGUAAUUCUUUUCCUAGGGUUCCACACCCUACCUAUAAAUAGCAAUAUACAUCACAGAGGCUGUGCGCCACUUUUAUGCAAUUUCAUAUUCUCUACUUUUUCUACUCUGCA